rnacentral:misc_RNA from 1 species
AUUUUCUUCAUUUACAAUUGAAUUUGAUGCUCCAAUACCCAGUUUAAAGAAUUCACUUGGGAGUGAAAAUAUGACAGUUUUCUGCUAUCACAUAUAUUGCAGCCAUAAUUGCUACCUUGUUCUCAAAUAAUUGAUUGUAGUUGGAAUAGUUUGUCCUAUCAUAAUUUCUUCAAUUCCUUAGUUAUGGGUCUCCUGACUGUUGCAAAUAUAAGAUUCAAGGAGUAAUGAUCUGGGUUUCUUUAAUUUAGCUUAAUUUCUUAUCGCAAUUGCA